rnacentral:misc_RNA from 1 species
CCGAGACCAUAUAAUCUCUGGAUCUAGAGAAGUGUGUAUUCCUCUCUUUUAUCAAUUGCCACCUACUCAAUGUAUGAAUUAUGGGUCGUGCUUUAGAGUGGAUAUCUUUAUCAUUUGUGUUCAACAACCGUGCCACUUGGGUUUCUUUCUUGUCCAUGCUUUAGUUAUUCGAAUUUCAAAUGACUUUAAGAAUACGUUAAUUUUGGUGCCUCUUGAAAUUGCCCACACAUGGCGCGAAUUGGAGAGCCACUACUCAAGCUCAUAAUUUACCCAAGUAUACUGGCAUAAUCCAGCAACCAAUCAACCAUUCCACGCGUGCUAACAAAAAGUCGGUUUCAAGGGAUGCGCAUUUUGACAGUGCACCUCUUUCUUCGGCUUCUUCAGUCCUCAACUCUUUCUUGUAUGAUAGC